UACGGGGGGGGCAAGCGUUGUUCGGAAUUACUGGGCGUAAAGGGCUCGUAGGUGGCCAACUAAGUCGGACGUGAAAUCCCUCGGCUUAACCGGGGAACUGCGUCCGAUACUGGUUGGCUUGAGUUUGGGAGAGGGAUGCGGAAUUCCAGGUGUAGCGGUGAAAUGCGUAGAUAUCUGGAGGAACGCCGGUGGCGAAGGCGGCAUCCUGGACCAACACUGACGCUGAGGAGCGAAAGCCAGGGGAGCAAACGGG
rnacentral:rRNA from 1 species